AGCAGCCGCGGUAAUUCCAGCUCCAAUAGCGUAUAUUAAAGUUGUUGCAGUUAAAAGCUCGUAGUUGAAUUUCGGGAUCAAUACGUCGGUCGUGCUUCGGUACGUACUGGCGUCAUUGAUUUCUCCCUUCUGACGAACCAUGAUGUCAUUAACUUGGUGUCAUGGGAAAUCAGGACUGUUACUUUGAAAAAUUAGAGUGUUUAAAGCAGGCUCACGCUUGAAUACAUUAGCAUGGAAUAAUGAAAUAGGACGUUCGAUCCUAUUUUUGUGGUUUUUUAGGAUCAACGUAAUGAUUAAUAGGGAUAGUUGGGGCAUUAGUAUUCAAUUGUUCAGAGGUGAAAUUCUUGGGAUUUUUAUUGAAGACUAACUACUGCGAAAGCAUUUUGCCAAGGGAUGUUUUCAUUAAUCAGAACGAAAGUUUAGGGGAUCGAAGACGAUCAGAUACCGUCGUAGUCUUAACCCAUAAAACCUAUGCCGACUA
rnacentral:rRNA from 1 species